AGGGGGCCCUAGAGCAAAGGGCCAAGGGGGGAUAAAAAAACGGUGUGCGGAAGGCAAUGCCAAGUUUCACGGGUUGUGAGAAGUUUGUGGGCUGGAAAGGUCAUCAAUGCAGUCUUUGCCUUAAUGAGACACCUGGGACUUACCUCUCUGCCCUGGAUCACUGUCACAGCAGUUAAAAAAAUAACCUGAGACAAUAUAUGAGCAAAGAACAAUUCUUAUGAGAAGACAUACAAGCAGUUGAUAGACAUUUGGAACUUGUUAAAAUUCACAGGAAGAAGAGCAAGGAUAAAACCCAGCCUUCAGAGGCAUCAGCUGGCCAGACAGAGACUAAGAAGCAAGCAUCGGUCCGUGACUGAAGCAGAGGGCAAGAUUGCUAGCUGGCUUUGGGUGCCCUGUGAGAAGAGAGACCCCAGGCAUUCAAGAGGCCUAGA